AUUGAACGCUGGCGGCAGGCCUAACACAUGCAAGUCGAGCGAGCGGCGGACGGGUGAGUAAUGUCUGGGGACUGCCCGAUAGAGGGGGAUAACUACUGGAAACGGUAGCUAAUACCGCAUACUAUCGGAUAACCCAUAUGGGAUUAGCUAGUUGGUGGGGUAAUGGCUGACCAAGGCGACGAUCCCUAGCUGGUCUGAGAGGAUGAUCAGCGCAACUGGGAAGGGAGACCGGCCCAGACUCCUACGGAGGCAGCAGGGGGGAAUAUUGCACAAUGGGCGCAAUCCUGAUGCAGCCAUGCCGCGUGUAUGAAGAAGGCCCUAGGGUUGUAAAGUACUUUCAGUCGGGAGGCGUUACCGACAGAAGAAGCACCGGCUAACUCCGUGCCAGCAGCCGCGGUAAUAC
rnacentral:rRNA from 1 species